GUGCUUGUUUCAGCAGAACAUAUACUAAAAUUGGGAUGAUACAGAAGAUUAGACUGGCCCCUGUGCAAAGAUGACAUGGAAUUUCAUAAAGUGUUCCAUAUUUUU